AAUGGCUGCAAUGGAGCUGGCUCAGGUCAUUGAUAAGAAUGUUAAAUAGCAGAAGGCCAAGAACCAAUCAUUGUGGGAAUCCCCUAGAAAGAAAUCUACUCAAGCAUGGUUCCCCAUUUACAAUAAUAGUUUGUAAUCUAUUUAAUGUAUGCCGUGUUUAUUUUGUAUCUUUGUAGGAACGUUACACUUCUUAAACACUAAGGGGGUAGGAAUGCCGCCCCCGGAUUUAGAGCGGCUGAAGUGGUUCCCACACCCCCACACUUCCGGUCAGGAGACACACUGAUUAAGUGCCGAUUAGGAGUGUAUCUCUGGAGUACGCAGUGCAUAAAGCACCAAUCAGGAGAGGGGGCGAGACGUUGGCUUGAGUUUGUACAUGCGUAUAAUAGAAUGAUUUAUGUAACCAACUAUAAUAAAUAGACGUGGACAGCCCAGUUGGGGCGGGUCCACGGGAACAGACUGACGGACUUGGCUUCAUUCAUUGCUACAUCUGGUGACCCCGACGUGAUUCCCCCUGCUCACCGUCUGGAAUAGCCUCCGAUGCAUCGACCCUCGCUGAAUAGCCCCGUUUCGUCCGUUGUGGGUCCCUGCCAAGAAUGUGCGACCGUGGCACAAUGACGUGGCAUCAAAGCCUCAAGAACCCGAUACCCAACUUUAAUCUGAAUCUAACCGAGACCUUUCCAGUGUGCCGAGCCACAAAGACGGCACCAAAGGUUACCUGGGGGCAGGUGAAACGACUGGCGCAGCAGGCUCAGCAAACGCUGGAGAAUAACAAGGCCAAGCCUACCCCCGAGAAUUUUACUGUUGCUAUCUUUGCUUGUUUGAUUGCUAAUUCUUUUACCAUAUUGUUGUGUUGUUUUUGUGUGUUACAGGCUAGGGCCGAACCCGAAUUGCAUAGCCGCAUGCGUUAUAAUAUAUGGGCUCGACUUGCGAUUCUUGCCAAUUAAUCCUCCUUUUGUUUACAGCAGGCCCCUGAGAUGCAUGGCCUGUUGGGCACCUGCCUGGUCCCAGUAUGUAAGGCACCAGGCGAUGCUGCACAUGCAACGGGGAUGUUUAAUUUUAUAAAUGCCACCGAGAUUUAAUAUUCUUUUAUGAGCCUAUGGGGCCAAGCCACUUAUGUGAAACCUGCAAGUGCCUUGUUUCUCUUUACCCCACGGGUAGCCAAUCACGCCAAUUUGACCUGUGCACGGAUGGUUAAUUGCACACAUCACAGGCCCCCAAAAGGAUGUUUGCGGGUGGGUACCCCAAAAUGGAAUUGUACGCGCUUUUAAAAUGUGUCCAGCAAUUACGGGCACAUCAUGUUACCAGAGGGUUGGUUUUUUACAUGUGGUCAGAGGACCUUUAAUUAUAUUCCGGCCAAUAUUUCAGAAGCUCAAUGUUGCCUAAGCAGACUCACACUGAUACUCCCCACGAGGUCAAUGUUGACUGAUUCCCAAAUUAAUGAGACCCGCACCCGUUGCCGGCGAAGCUUAACCCCCAUGAGAUCAGGAUGUAAUGCCAAUGUCAGCCUUUUUAGUUGGGCUGAGUACAUCUUUUUGGCUGCCAUCCAUGGGAUGGGUUUGAAUUGUUUUGUAAUAUGCUUUGAUUGUUAUCGCCUGCUUGAUUGGUUUUUGUUGCUUAGCUCAGUGUAUUCCUAACAUAAUUGGGCUGUGUUUUACACCCUGUCGGCGCAAACCCCUGCCUAUAUUCCAAGCCGUCAUGUAUGCCCAUAGAAUCAUGAAACAUGCGGAUCAGGCAUGGGUCGACAAAACAGAAAAGGAGGGGAUGUAGGAACGUUACACUUCUUAAACACUAAGGGGGUAGGAAUGCCGCCCCCGGAUUUAGAGCGGCUGAAGUGGUUCCCACACCCCCACACUUCCGGUCAGGAGACACACUGAUUAAGUGCCGAUUAGGAGUGUAUCUCUGGAGUACGCAGUGCAUAAAGCACCAAUCAGGAGAGGGGGCGAGACGUUGGCUUGAGUUUGUACAUGCGUAUAAUAGAAUGAUUUAUGUAACCAACUAUAAUAAAUAGACGUGGACAGCCCAGUUGGGGCGGGUCCAC